rnacentral:rRNA from 1 species
UGCUAGUUGCACGAAUUCAUAUUCGUAGCAGAUAGCUCAGUAACACGUGGCCAAACUACCCUAUGGAGACUGAUAACCUCGGGGAACUGAGGCUAAUAAGUCAUACGACUCUCAUCCUGGAGUGGAGAGAGUCAGGAACGCUCCGGCGCCAUAGGAUGUGGCUGCGGCCGAUUAGGUAGACGGUGGGGUAACGGCCCACCGUGCCCAUAAUCGGUACGGGUUGUGAGAGCAAGAACCCGGAGACGGAAUCUGAGACAAGAUUCCGGGCCCUACGGGGCGCAGCAGGCGCGAAAACUUUACACUGCACGACAGUGCGAUAAGGGAACUCCAAGUGCGAGGGCAUAGAGCCCUCGCUUUUCUGUACCGUAGGGAGGUACAAGAAUAAGAGCUGGGCAAGACCGGUGCCAGCCGCCGCGGUAAUACCGGCAGCUCGAGUGAUGACCGCUAUUAUUGGGCCUAAAGCGUCCGUAGCCGGCCGUGAAGGUCUGUUGGGAAAUCUAUCCGCUUAACGGAUAGGCGUCCAGCAGAAACCACACGGCUUGGGACCGAGAGACCUGAGAGGUACGUCUGGGGUAGGAGUGAAAUCCUGUAAUCCUGGACGGACCACCGAUGGCGAAAGCAUCUCAGGAGAUCGGAUCCGACGGUGAGGGACGAAAGCUGGGGUCACGGACCGGAUUAGAUACCCGGGUAGUCCCAGCUGUAAACGAUGCCAGUUAGGUUUGGCGCGGGCUACGAGCUCGUGCUGUGCCGCAGUGAAGACGAUAAACUGGCCGCCUGGGAAGUACGUCCGCAAGGAUGAAACUUAAAGGAAUUGGCGGGGGAGCACUACAACCGGAGGAGCCUGCGGUUUAAUUGGAUUCAACGCCGGGA